GGGGAUGUCACGGCUUCGACGGGUGAAGCGUAAAGCAGACCGCGUGCCGAGCCUUCCAGGGGUGCUCGUAAAUCCCCCUUGGAAAACCGACAAAUGCCAACGAUUACGCAUUCGCGAUGGCCGCUUAAGGUCCUAUAGGAACCUUAGCCUUGCUAUCUGUCCACCAGCAUGUCUGUCCAUAGACGGCUGACUGGGCAUCGACUCUUAUGGAAUAGGUAAUGCCACGCCGGCUGAGUAAGCACUACUGAAAUUCGAUCAGCCUUUGUGUUGCUCUGGCCCGAGACGGUUGGCCACGGAGCGACAUGAGCACUGAGUAAACCGACUACGCACGUAGACGUCUGACUGGACGGUCAUUCGGACCUGGGUUCGACUCCCAGCAUCUCCACCA
rnacentral:tmRNA from 1 species